UACGUAGGGGGGAAGCGUUGUCCGGAAUCAUUGGGCGUAAAGCGCGUGUAGGCGGCUCGGUAAGUCUGCUGUGAAAGUCCAGGGCUCAACCCUGGGAUGCCGGUGGAUACUGUCGAGCUCGAGUCCGGAAGAGGCGAGUGGAAUUCCUGGUGUAGCGGUGAAAUGCGCAGAUAUCAGGAGGAACACCAAUGGCGAAGGCAGCUCGCUGGGACGUGACUGACGCUGAGACGCGAAAGCGUGGGGAGCAAACAGG
rnacentral:rRNA from 1 species